rnacentral:rRNA from 1 species
UCGAGAAUUUUUCACAAUGGGCGAAAGCCUGAUGGAGCGACGCCGCGUGGGGGAUGAAUGGCUUCGGCCCGUAAACCCCUGUCAUUCGCGAUCAACCCUUAUUAUUUAAAAGAUGAUAAGCUGAUAGUAGCGGAAGAGGAAGGGACGGCUAACUCUGUGCCAGCAGCCGCGGUAAUACAGAGGUCCCAAGCGUUGUUCGGAUUCACUGGGCGUAAAGGGUGCGUAGGUGGUGACGUAAGUCGGAUGUGAAAGCUCGGAGCUCAACUCCGAAAUGGCAUUGGAAACUGCGUUGCUAGAGGGUCGGAGGGGGGACUGGAAUUCUCGGUGUAGCAGUGAAAUGCGUAGAUAUCAAGUGGAACACCAGUGGCGAAAGCGAGUCCCUGGACAACUCCUGACACUGAGGCACGAAAGCUAGGGGAGCAAACA